rnacentral:lncRNA from 1 species
CUGGUUCCCUUUGAUUUGGCAGGGGAACUUCUACAGUAGUACCCUUCUUUUGAUGGACCGGCUCCAUCUCUUCCUCACCCUCUUCAACAACAACCUCAUAACUUUCACCUAGUUUUGCUUUCCCCUUUUCUUUCCUCAUUUUCUUACUAUCCUCUACAGCUCUCUACAAUUCUGCUUCACUCUCCCUAACUCUACUUCUUUUGGUUCUAACCUAGGAGAAGACUUGGGGGAUGAAGUUUUACUUUUCUUGGUUGGUUUAGAUGCAGCAGAGGUCCUUUGUGAGUCUUAACUAGCCCCAACUUUCUUCAGCAUAUCCACCAAAGUUUCUUCUGUAGAUGAACCAGGUUCAUUUUGUUGUUCACUCAGAUUAACUAAGCCCUCAUCAGCUUCUCCUGAGCCACUUCCCGCUGACCUCGAGCCUCCCUCUUCCCCACUACCACGUAUAGCUAACACUUCCUUCUUAUUUUUCUUUCUCAU